rnacentral:lncRNA from 10 species
AGUGAAGCCCAUGAGCCACUAGAAGCCACAUGUUCUGCCAUGUGGAGAAGAAUGAGAGAGUACAUCCUCAAAUUGAGGUGUGGCAUGAUGAUUUGGCUGCCCAGAGGAGAACCUGUCUUUCCCAUCUAAAGUGGGAGGUCAAGCCAAGUAGAGGUUAACAGCAUGUGAUCCUGAGAGGCGAUGGAAACAGUGAAUUGCCGGGCCAGGGCCAUCUCCGCCUGGCUGUGGAAGAGGAACGGGAUCCCUUCCUGGACUGCAUAAGCCCCAGGUUUGUUGGAAACCAAGAUCAAACAACUAAGAGAGUCAAAGCUGAGACUGUGCCCUUUUCACUCCACCAGACCAGCCACCUUUCAAGGGCCUGUGCCUGUGGUAACUGUCUAUGAGCCAGGUAUAUCUGAAGCAUAUUUGACAACAGAAAAAGUUAAUGUAAUUUUCAAAGGAAAAACGCCAACUUUUUUCAAAAAGGUAACAUUUAUCUUCAACACUACUAUUUGCAGCAUGUUGAAAAAACAAUUGGUUUUUGCUAUCUAAAAAUCAGGUGGCAAUCAUAGAAUUUUUAAAUGACUUAAAUCUCUGGUUAAUCUUAAUUCUGCCCGUGACCGAAAACAUCACUAAGGCCACCAUCACAUUCUAAGGCAUUAUGCCUUCACAUUGCAGAUAAAAAUCUAGGAUCUUUUAAAAGACCUUCGGGAAUAGAGAUUCUAUAACCUCCUUUGGCAUAUUAAAUAUGUCAUAUAAGAUAAGCCAGACACAGAUAAACACUGUAUGAUCUCACAUGUGAAAUCUAAAAAAGUCAAACUCAUAGAAGCAGAGAAUAGAACAGUGGUUGCCAGCAAGAUAGGGGAUGGGAGAAAUGGGGAGAUGUUGGUCAAAGGGUACAAACUUUCAGUGAUAAGAUGAACAAGUUUCAGGUAUCUAAGGUACAGCAUGUGUGGUGAUGGAUGUGUUAAUUAAUUUGAUUGUGGUAAUCAUUAUACAACGUAUAUGUAUACCAAAUCAUCACAUUGUACAGUUUAAAUAUAUACGAUCUUUACCUGUGGAUUAAACCUUUUUAAAUGCAGUUCAAAAUUGUGGAUGAGUCCAUAAUAUCCAAGCCAGUCACCAAAAUUUUGUUCUUAGCUUCUUUUUAUGAAAAAGAGAAAUUCUACCCUCUAAUCUUAUAGAAUGAUGCUAACCUUCAGAACACUAACUGCGUUUUAUUUAUUUUUCUCCCUAUAAACUCAUAAAGGCUUAAGUAUAUAUUGGAUGCUCCAUAAACCUUUGCUGAAUGAAUUUUUUAAAAUGCGGCAUAUAAAAGAUUUUCACAUUAUGAAGAAAAUUUUUCUGAAUAAAUCUGUCUUUAUUUAAUGAGAAAAUAUUCAUUUUUACUUAUUCACUGAUACUCAUGAAAUUAAGUUGUCCAAAGUAAUAAACACCCAAUCAGAAAUGCUGUUAUAAAACUUAAGAAGCCUAAAGGUAGAGAAUGACACAAAUUAAACAUGAAACACUUAUACAAAUUGAAAAUAAUUCAUCACCAACAAUUGAGAACAAUAUUCCAUAGCUUCCAACAAAGUCAAUGAGUUUAGACUGAAAAUAAAGAGAUAAAUGACCAAAUCAAUGUGUUUAUUAAAAUGACUUUAUUAAAUCAAUGACUUUACCAAAUCAAUGACUUUAUUAAAAUGUCAUUUUCUCCAGGGAAGAAAUCCGGGUUAUUUUGUAAAAAUGUAUAUAUAUAAGGCUUGCAAAACCAAUAUCUAGAGUUGCUUAAACAUAUAUAUACUGUGUGUUGCACUAACAUAUUAAGACCAGACAAUGUGUUUCCUUAAUGUUACUUAGUUUUAGCUAAACGACUACUCUUAUCAAAAUAUUGCCCCCACCUCAGAAACUUUUAUACGCUAUAAAAAAUAAAAGGAAACACUGAAGUAUCAGUCUGGAAAUAGUUUAUUUCCGACGUACCAAAUACUACUGCCUAAAGGAAAUUGCAUUUGCUGCUAUGCUCAAUAAGAUAAGUAGAUGUCACCAUUGUUCUUUUCUUUCUUUCUCUUUCUUAAUUUUUUUCUUUUUUUCUUUUUCUUUUCUUUCUUUCUUUCUUUUUUUUUUUUUUUACAAAGCUCACCUUGAAAGUGGUGCCAGAUUUAAUAAAAUUCUUUUCUAAUACAUUAUCCAAGGCUGGAUCCAGCUCUUCAUGAAUGUCCUCAAUGAGAAGGGGUCGGCCCAAGGAAAGGCUGUCCUCCAAGUGUGUGCGAAAAUAUUUAUGGUUCAGAGAUGUCACCUAAACAGAAAGAACUCAUUGGUCUAUCUGUGUUACAAAGAAUGUGCCCAUUGCUAAGGGAAACCGAGAGAUUUGUUGGACAGGUAAUCAAGAAUUUUAAGGGCAAUAGAAGAAGACUUACUUAAAAAAAUUAAAGUAACAUACAAAAAUUAAUUUCUAAAACUUGGUGAGUCAUGAUUUUGUUGAAUGGGGUCUAGAUGUGUAAUGGGGUCUCUAUGAUCAAAAGAGGAGGGUUAAGGGGCAUUGCUCAGAUGCAAUGUCAGAGUUCUGCUCCUGACAGAUGGAAGAGAAUAGUCAAGGAUUAAUCCUUUCAAACUUACAUAGCUAUAAUCGCUCAGAGAAAGCAAAGCAACUUGCAUAUCUGGAUAUUCAUUUAUUUUCUCAGGACCCCUACAAGAUGAGUAAGUGAUAAAAAGUAAACAUAAGAAUGUCAGAAAUGAUAUAUUGAGUCGCACUGAGGGUCUAUCCAUGUAUUCUGUCUCCUAUUGGCACUGGGAAGAAUUUAACACUUUCCGUAAAGUCAACCUAAAAGACUAGACAUUCACUUUAUAUAUGCUUACAUUUUUUUAAAACUGCAAUUCUGAAUUCCUGGUUGGGUCUUCGUGUUUAGAUUAAUGCGUUUGUUAUUAGUUAAAAUAGACACACUGUAGUGGUUCAUCUCUGCAUGAGCCAAUUGGAUUUGAACCCUUACUUCACCUAGGAUCCCUCCCCCUGCCUAACUGUGAAGAUUCCCAAAGGCUCAUUUCUCAACUUUUUGUAUCCUAUCUUCUGAAUUCAACUAAUGCCUUAGGCUAUUGUGGGUGCAGACCAUAAGAUGCAAGGAAGAAUCCACUGGGACAACAGGCGAUUAGGAGAAUGGAAUUAAAUAUGUAUCUCUCAAUUACUAUGAUAAAAAGAAGAUAUGAAAUAUAACAAUUAAAUCAGCCUACUUUUGUCCUGUUUUGAUUAAAAAGGAAAUAACUAAAAAAAAAUUCUGCACAUGAAGGAAGUUGUUUCCCUGGAUGAAUAGCUUUCUUUAUACAAAUAAUGUGCUGUAAAGACCUUCCUGUAAGUUAAUAAGGAAAAAGAAUCUAAACAAAGAACUUUAAUGAACUUAAUAAACAAGGUGAAGAAAAGCACCAGUAAGACUAAAUUUGCUUAUAUCUUGCUUUAUUUCUCAAGGGGUAAAUUCUAUUUUUGUGAUAUCUUUCCCAAGUAAGGAGAUAAUUAUCUUCAGUCAUCUUCAAUGUCUUUUAGAAACUUGAAAUAGUAUUUUGGAAUCCCAAUUUCAGGUUUAUUUCACUGGAUUUUUCUUGUGAAACACUAUUUGGUAGCCACCCCCAGAGCCUGGUUCACCUGCGCAAAGACUGGUAUUGGGUCUUUACAAGGUGACCAGUGAAUUCCUGAUAGGGAGAC